GGAGUGUGGCUCAGUGGUAGAGCACGUGCUUAGCAUGUGCAAGGCCCUCGGUUUAAUCCCCAGCACCA
rnacentral:tRNA from 1 species